AUUGUAUUGAAUUAAUUCAAGCAAUUCGUGCACUUUCUAUUGUCACGAGGGCUUCGUGAUUGCCAAAAAUACUAUGAGAAGCUACAUCACAUUAAAGCGUAGUGAGAGCUGAUAUAAAGGGGUAAAGUUAUGAUCCUUGAGAGGAAAUACACUGAUAGGGUGGAGAAGCUUCGCACGGCACUCGAGAGCCAACUCCACAACAGGGUCUCCAGCACAGACUCUUUCUUCUCAGUCAGGAGGCCCCUGCUCUUCCACAACAACUACUCAAAGUACUCUAGAGAUACUCUAUGACUGUCUCCAUUACCUGCUAAAGAUAUUGCCCCACUGUUGAUCCAGUGUGGAUCUCCAUGGAAACACCAAGACCAGCAGUGGGACUGAGCAUGGUAACACUGAGAAGUUUCUGUACCCUAUGCAAAGUUACUCUCACACCAAAUCUGUCGUCAUCUCUACACACCUGGAAGAGCUAAAGAUUAUUAUAAUACUUUUUUUAAUGUAACCUUUAUUUAACUAUUAUUUGAAUUGAUAUGUACUAGUUUGCAAUUGAAAUGAUUGGGAAAUUUUUUCAACAAUAUGUGUAUAUAUUUCCAGAAAAAUAUAGUUUUAAACAAUAGAUUCAAAGUUAAUGGUCUUUUGUAAAGACAGAGAUUUUAGUCUAUGCUGUAUGUAUAUGCCGUUCAUUGUAUACCAUUUUGUUUUAAUAUUUUUUGCUGAGCUGGUCACAUGUAGACUACUCUCUGAGGAAAGAGUUAUUACUGAAAACCAUAUUCCUGCAUGUAUACAAAGGAACAAUAUGUUGAAAUAAGUAUAGGUUAUGGUAGAGCUAUGGUGGGCUCCCGAGUGGCGCAGCGGUCUAAGGCACUGCAUCUUAGUGCUAGAGGCGUCCCUACAGACCCUGGUUUGAUUCCAGGUUGUGUCACAAUCGGCCGUGAUUGGGCGUCGCACAAUUGGCCCGGCAUUGUUAGGGUUUGGCCGGGGUACAGUAGGCUGUCAUUGUAAAUAAGACUUUGUUCUUAACUGACUUGCCUAGUUAAAUGAAGCUUAAAUAAUAGAGCCUCGUGGUCACAAGGGAAAUUAUAUUUUUGAUAUCCAAUGUAAACAUUUUGUUGUAAAAAAACUGAUGAUGUCUGCUUUUUUUUGUUAUUUUUGAUGUUGUCAAUUUCUUCACCAUUGCUUACUAAAUAACUUGACAACUUAAAAUAUUUUAAAUCCACCAAAAAUGACCUCAACA
ensembl:lncRNA